GUCAGAGUCGCCAUGAUUCUCCCGCUCCAGACAGACGCAGGUUAAGAUCCUCCCUGGGAUGGACUGAGUGCCUGCUGUAUACCAGCCUCACUGCUGAACUGCUGAACCACGCAGCUGACAAAGCAGGGACUCACUCUGCAGGCAAAGGGUGCCAGUGAGGGUGGAGAGCCUGCAGCAGGAAAGCAGUUACGGUCCUGCCAUUGAGACUCAAAGAUGAGCCCAGUUCAGGUGGAUGGAACAGAAGGGAAUAUCCAACACCAUAGGUAAAGGAUCAUUUGGGCAAAGGAAACACAUUCUACCUCUGGCCACUGGGUCGUUGUUAGGAGUUUGAAUGAAAUACCCAACAUCUUAAAGGCUCAGCUCCUUUGCCUGAAAACGGGAAGAUCACUGAGCUGAACAAAGUGCGAGUCACCCUGGCACAGCACCAGGCAGGCGGCAGAUGCAAAGGAGAAAUAACCACAAAUGAGACAAACAGCCCACGGCAGCCAGCAUUACCAUUAGUUAUGAAGACCAGAGACAUGACCAGCCCGUGAUUGGCCCUCGAGAGAAGCAGAGCAGCCGGCGGCACAGUGGCUUUGUCACCCAUAGAGGGGACCCCGCCCUCCUCCACACCACAGCCAUAUACUGCAGAUGCAAAACCCGCAGACAAACUGGGGAUACGACUUUUGGGAAUUGAAGGAAGGCAACGAGAGAAGGAGAAAUGAGAGGAGAUGAAAGGAGGCUCUAAGAAAGGAAAGAGAUGGGGAAAGACUUUCACAGGGGACAGAAGGAAAGAGGCUGCAUCGGAGAGAAAAAUCAGCUUAUCUGUUGGCUAGGAAAACAUUCACAUCUGUGGCUUAUUGGAAACCAGAUACUCACUUUCUAGGGUUCUCCAGCAUCAAUCACAAGACAGGAGAGAGGAAUUUGUUUUAUACAGUUUAUUAAAAAUGAAUGAUAACAGAGGUUGGUUUAUAUAUUAAUCAGGCAUGAAAAAUGUAUUUGAUAAAGAACAGCAUUCCUGUAUAGAGAAGCAACGAUUCCCUCUGUUGAGCCCACACACAAUUCUACGGAUUCUGCUGAAUAUGCACCGUCACUGGGCAUUGGGGGAGGAUUUACUUCAAAAGACUUUUCUAUUUUUAAGGAAUCUCAUAAACUAUACAUCAACCUUCAUUUUUUAUGGUCAGUUCUAAUGAUAAAGACACACUCCAGCCAAGCGGAUCCUGUGGAGACUCCGUACCGCCCUCUGCGUUGGCACUGGAAGAGACUGGUUCCCCACACAGGCGUGGGUCUUACCUCUGCCAACUUCUCCCUCGUAGGAAAAUGCUAGCAGCUUAUUUUCGAAGUUUCAGAGGGGUGGGCCCAGCCUGAAGCUAGUUAAUUCUCCAGCUGCAAUUCUUCCUGCAGAUGUUAUUCAUCUCGAAUCUUCUUCCUGGCUCACAUUCCACAGCAUCUCCCAAGGCCUUCCUCUCGCCCAUUUCCACCCCACCUCAAAGACGGCUCUUCUGUAAUGGAUCUUAUACUAGAAUCUUCAGAAAUCAGCUGUUUAAGCUUGCAAAACCAGUGAAAGGAGACUUUCUGGGUGUGGGGCUGAAUAACCUCUAUUCCAACAAGCCUUCCAGGGGCUUCUGAUGCUCUUGGUCCUAUUGCCCAUCCUCCCACGGCUCUCCCUACCCCAAACUUCUCCCUCGUCUUCCAGAACGUGGAAGACUCUUACCUGGAGUGAGGGAAAGACAGCAGAGGAUUCUGCACAUCAUAGAUGGGUGUGGAAAGAAAGAAUUAGUGACCUCACAUUCUCUAGAUAAAACCCGAGGGAUCACCGACUUCCUCCUCUUCUAGAGAGGAGCAAACUGAGUCUCAGAGAGAAAGUCAUUUGCCUACAUAAGAAGUAGUCAGAUCAAGACAAGAGUCAAUGCUGGGAGGUGGCUCAGCAGUUCAGAGCGCUUGCUGUACAAGCCUGAGGACCUGGAUGAAGAUUCUCAACAUCCACGGAAAAAGCUGGGUGUGGUGUGUGCAUGUCUGUCACCCUAGCACCAUGGUGGGGGUCGGGGACAGAGGAAAAUCUCUAAGACAGACACACAGAGAGGUUAGGAGAGAGAGAAUAGAUAAGACUGUGAAGAAAAACACCUGAACUGGAAUCAUCUGGCAGCAGGGAUGUGGCUCAGUUUCUACACAGACAUCAACCUUGCAUGUAUAAAGUCAAGGGUUUGAUCGCCGCCACCACUAAAGAAAUGAGUGAAUAAAUUAAUAAGUAAGCAAAUAAAUAAUGAUCCCAAUGGCAGAGCCAGCCAUCAGAUAUUAAUACUCUGCUUUUGGGCAGGAACACUGACAAGAUUGGAGGUGAGUGGGACCCCCAUGGAAGAAUAAGCCCAGGCUGAAAUCAACAUGUCCUACUUAGGCCACAUAUAUCUUUCUUUGCUCUGAGUACAGGCGCAACAAAACCACAUAGCCCUUUAAUAAGGCUGAGCUUGGUUUCUGUGUGGUUUGCAAAGUUUUGACAAGUUGAUAAAUUGCUUAACCUCUCGGAGACUCUGCUUCCUCAUACUAAGAGGCACAUAACAAGACUCAACUUGCAAUGUUUCCCCCCGAAAGCUUAAAUGAAACAAUGUCUGUCCCAGGGGUUCACAGACCAACCGCCCGCUAUGUGCUGUGAUCCAUGAACAAUACUCAGCCCUCUUUCCAAGCGAGUCACAGUCUGGUGGUAAACAUUAAUUACAGAAAGAACUGAAUGCCAGUGUCCCUGAGGUAGGAACCACUGCUCUCCCUUAGAAUAUAACGUUCUGGGGUGGAUACCUUGGCCGGCAACCCACCAUUUGUGUGGCCUACUGAAGGGGGAUCUUGCCUUGUUGGGAGAGGCAGGAACUGGCAUUUGGCUUGACUCUAGCUAAAAAUGGGUUAGUAUUUCUAUUGCUGUAAUGAAAUACUAAGACCAAAAGCAGUUUGGGGAGGAAAGGCUUUAUUUGGUUUACACUUAUAGAUUGCUGUUCAUCAUCUAAGGAAGUCAGGACAGGAACUCACACAGGGCAGAAACUUGGAGGCAGGAACAGAUACAAAGGCCAUGGAGGGCUUGCUGCUUACUGGCUUGCUCCUCAUGACUUGCUCAACCUGCUUUCUUAUGGAACCCAGGAGCACCAAUCCAGGGGAUGGUAUCACCCACAUGGGCUGGGCCCUUUUCUUCAUCGACCAUGAAUUAAGAAAAUGUCCUAUUGGUUUGCCUACAGCCUGACCUUAUGGAAGCAUUUUCUUAACUGAGAUUCCCUCUUUUCAGAUGACUUAAUCUUGUGUCAAGUUGACAUAAAAGUAUCCGGCACAAUGGGUCUAAAGAAAGACACUCCAGGCAGAAUGAAGAUAAUGAAAACCAGUCAACAAGACAAAAUGACAGCCUACAGAAUAGGGAAAGAUCUUCACUAACCCCACAUCAGACAGAGGUCUGAUCUUCAAAAUAUACAAAGAACUCAAAAAACUUAACCUCAAAAGAACAAAUAAUCCAAUAAAAAAUGGGGUACAGACCUAAACAGAGAACUCUCAACAGACGAAUCUCAAAUGGCUGAAAGACACUUAAGGAUAUGUUCAACAUCCUUAGUCAUCAGAGAAAUGCAAAUCAAAAUAACUCUGAGAUUCUAUCUUGCACCUGUAAGAAUGGUCAAGAUCAAAAACACUGAUGACAACUUAUGCUGGAGAGGAUGUGGAGUAAGGGAACACUCCUCCAUUGCUGGUGGGAGUGCAAACUGGUACAGCUGCUUUGGAAAUCAGUAUGGUGAUUUCUCAUAAAAUUAGGAAACAACCUUCCUCAAGACCCACCAAAUACCACUUUGGGGUAUAUAUCCAAAGGAUGCUCAAUCGUGCCAUGAGGACAUGUGCUCAACUAUGUUCAUAGCAGCAUUGUUUGUAAUAGUCAUAACCUAGAAACAAUCUAGAUGCCUCUCAACCAAAGAAUGUAUAAAUAAAAUGUGAUACAUUUACACAGUUGAGUACUACUCCAUGGUAAAACAAUAAUGACAUCUUGAAAUUUGCAGGCAAAUGGAUGAAUCUAGGAAAAAAACAUAUUGAGUAACCCGGACCCAGAAAGACAAAUAUAAUAUGAGUGGGUUUUAGACAUAAAGCAAAGAAAAACCAGCCUACCAUCCACAACCCCAGAGAACCUAGACAAUAAAGAGAGACAUACAGGGAUCUAUACAGGAAGGAGAAAAAGACAAGCUCUCUGAGUAAAUUGUGAGUGUGGGGGUCAUGGGAGAGGGUAGGAGAGAGAGGAGGAAGGGAGGGGAGCAGAGAAAAUGUAUAGCUCAAUAAAAACAAUUUAAAAUGCAAAAAAAGAGAGAUCACUCUCAGGAAUGAAGACAUCAAGAAUACGUGAGCAUUUGAGCAAGAACAGUGAGGGUUUCUACAAAGGCUGUUGUGCUGUGUUGGUUGCCUUGGAAAUGGUACCCCAGCCCCCGCCACCCCCACAGGACAGCGAUGCACAAAAGAAAACAAAUGCGCACAGAUGAUGUGGCAGCAUCUGUGGGCAGGACAAUGUGUCUUGCAGCUAGCAUUGCCUGGAGGAGCCUGGGAAAGAGCUGGCGAGGGGGAGUGUGCUGUAAGUAAAACAGGAAGAAGCACAAAAGCUGCUCUGACUCUCUACUCAGGCUGGGUAAUCAGUGCUCAUUGUUUCUCCUAUUGAUCUACAGAAUUGCUCUGGAUGGCACCUGCAAGCCAGAUGACUAGUUAGACCCCGACUUUUGCCCACCCAGAAAAGCCAGGUGGUCUAGAAGGCCCCUCAGGCACAAAGUCAAAAGGACCACAGUUACUGUCUGUUUAAAGGCUCAGACCUGUCCUAGAAGGCCCCGAAGUUCUAAAUCAUUAGUUCCCUGUUCUUCUGGGUUUGUUUCCUCUUCAGAUCCCCUACCAUCUUCAGGCCUCUGAGCGUCAUCUGCUGCCUGCUCAACCCUGGGGCUCUCCAUGGUCACGACCUUCACAAGUAGUGUUCCCUUAAACCGCUAUCUUGAAAGUGGUUUGGGAACCUCAAGGUUUCCUGAGACUCCUUCAGAAAAUGCAUGAGGUCAGGCCUGUGUUCAUAACACACAUGUUCACCUUUCACUCUCGCAGACUUUCAUGCGUGAACUGGUGUGGUUUUAGAUUCCACACUAUGACAAAUUUCAAGAAAGUUCUGUCUGUCAAGUCUCAUGCCCUGUCGAAGAAGACUCACACAAGAAGACUGCUACAAGAUGCCUCUCAUUUCUCCAACUACAUGCAACGUGUGCAUCUAUGUGGGAUCUAGGUAUGGCCCAACCCAAACAUCCCAUGACUGGAAAUACAGCUCAGAGAUAAGUAUGGUCCCCACCCUGUACCAAAGAAACUUGUUUUUGCAAGAGAGACCACUACAGAAAACCACAACUAAGAGAUCAGAGCUGUGUGGCGGCCAAUCCCAGCCAGCACACGUAGAACGUAUUUUCACACAGCCGGCUCAGGAGUCACUGUGGAAGACUGGGUGAAAAGAUGGUAAAAGUCAGAAAGACAAGAAGGUCACCAUGCGACUGCUAAAAAUGCUGCUACAGAGACAGCACCCAUGACAUGUCACAAAACCUGAACACCACCAGCAGUGGGCAUGCUAACAAGACCGGGGAAAGCUCACGGGGCCUAAACCCUAGACAAGGACCAACGAGCAACUGGGAAAUGCUGAGAGUGAGAAAUGAUCUUCCUCAGGGAAGAGCCUCCCUCUUCCAUGUUGGAAACCUUAUAUUUUGUUGGUAAAAAUGCAAGGUGUGUCCCUUUAGAACAUAAUUUGGCAGCUUCUCAUAAAGUCACACCUCACCAACAUACCACAGCACAAGAUGGCCCAUUGUCUCUAUUUACCCAUGCUUCCAGGGAACUCCCAUCCCCUGGAAAAAUCCAGGAAAAUCCAGUGUAUUGUCUGUCAGCCCAGAUCCUGGAUACUCAAACACAAGAGCGUGCGUCCACACAAUAACUAUUUCUUGGCUGCCUACGGAGGCUGCAUUUUUAAAAGCUGAACACUGGAAACAAUCCAACCACUAGCAGCUGAUGAAUGGGGAACAAAUUAUGGGACAUCCGUACAAUGGACUCCCACCAAGUUAUCAGAGGAGGGAUCUGCUAGAUGAGUCUCAGAAUCACACCAAAUGAAAGCAACCAGACACAAAAACACUAUGUUCUGAAUUCUUCUGAUUAUAUGAAAUUCAACAAAAGGCAAAAUUACAUGGCAGGAAGCAUAUCAAUGGUUCUAGAAGAUUGCGGUUAAAAAAAAAAAAAAAAAAAAGAAGGAACCAGCUGUGGAGGGGCCAAAGGGAACCUAGGAGGCUAUGGAAGUACUUACAUCAUGGUUAUGGUGGAGCGAUGCAUUUGCUGAAAUUUAUUAAGUCGAAUCCUUUAAAAUUAAUGCAUUGCACUGUAAGUUAAACUUCAAAAAGCCAUUAAAAAAAUAAAGGAAUGGCAUCAAAGAGCUGAAGGAAGGAGUUGUGGAACGCUGACUUCUGGGCAGGGCACAGCUGUGGCAUUUGGGAACUGUCAGAAGCUGUUACCUAUACAAGGCCUGCACGAGGUUGGGUGGGCCUGUUAAUGUUCCCCCGUGGAGGGGAGACCAGGUUCCAGGCCUUGUCCCCACUGAGGAUCUCUAGGUAGCUAUGGUUACUAGCAGAGGGGGAGACUUUUUUCUAGUGGUGCAAUCAUGGUAAGCUGCCCAUAUUCCUG